ACUUCAGAGAGGUUCCUUCCAUGUGCCAUCUGUUUCCUUGCAACUGGGAAUGGUAGAAUAAUUUUCUGAAGAAUUGCUGACAAGAUGUGGCAGGGGAACAGUAAUCCAUAAAGACAAGAUUUCUCAUUAAAGUCACUCAGCUCGUCUGUGAUAUAGCAAGCUUUUGAUUUACACUGGUCACCUCUGGAGCAGGGAGGACAGUGGCUGUGGUUAUAUUACCCCAUCCUUCUCGCAGAUGGUCUGAGGAAAAUGUGAAAAUACAGCUGGAGACUAUAAGAAAAUCAAGAUCACAGCCCAAGAUCACUGCAGAAUUAUCACAUCAUCACACAAAUGAUCAAUGCUGGUUUUGAGUCCAGGAGGGAACCAAAUUUAAAAGGAAACUGCAUGUGCAUAACUUCAGAAUUUUAAAUGAGAGCUGCUGCUAAAAGGCUCAUAGGAAAAUCCUGGUACAUAUUGAGAUUGUUUUAAAAGAAUUAUGGGAAAUGACAGCAGUAGAACUAAAGUUCGAUUUUUCACAGAUGAAACUACAAAAUGCAUGGAGUAAUGUAAUCCAGUCAGACA